rnacentral:rRNA from 1 species
AUACGGAGGGUGCAAGCGUUAAACGGAAUUACUGGGCGUAAAGCGUACGUAGGCGGUUAUUUAAGUCAGAUGUGAAAGCCCCGGGCUUAACUUGGGAACUGCAUUUGAAACUGGGUAACUAGAGUUUAGUAGAGGGGAGUGGAAUUUCAGGUGUAGCGGUGAAAUGCGUAGAGAUCUGAAGGAACACCAGUGGCGAAGGCGACUCCCUGGACUAAAACUGACGCUGAGGUACGAAAGCGUGGGUAGCAAACGGGAUUAGAAACCCCAGUAGCCC